UUGCUUAGGCAGCACAUAUACUAAAAUUGGAACAAUACAGAGAAGAUUAGCGUGGCCCCCAAGCAUGGAUAUCACGCAAAUUUGUGAAGUGUUCCAUAUUUUU